AUGCAGUGGUGUGGGUUGGCGGUGUCUGUUGUCUGCGGUGGUCAGAGCGAUCAGUUGUGUGUGGGCUGCGGUGAGCUGCGACAAGUUGGCUGCGGCGAGGUCUGGUUGCUGCCGAUGAUGGCGCUGGCGUGCCGCAAGCUAGAGCCGGGGCAUGGCAGCGUGAUGGUGUUGUGGUUGCGGCGGCAUGGUUUGCGGGUGGCAGAGGAUGCAUUGGUUGGCAGCAGUCAAUAUACGAUGCGGAGGUUCGGGGUGGUGUCCUUUUUGGCACCGAUGAUGGUGGUUUGCGGUGAAGUCAGAGUCGUUGGCUUGCGGAGGAGUGAUGACGAUGACACUUGUAGUCCGCCUCGACGGCGCUCCUCUUUCGAUGGCAUCAUUGCAUGUCAGCAGUUUCACACCAAAGGAAAGAUAAGGGAGGCAGAAGCGGAUUGUGCACAACGAGUUUUGGUUAAACAUUUGAUGGAUUUUGGAAUAAGGAGUGGCAAGAUCCUAAGCUUGGGGAUGCCUAAGGCACCCCAAGGUAAAAUUCAAGGACAACCAAAAGCCUAA
rnacentral:rRNA from 1 species